rnacentral:tRNA from 1 species
CGGGGUGUAGUAUAGUGGUAGUACGCAUACUUUGGGAGUAUGUAGUCCCAGUUCGAUUCUGGGCACCCCGA